AGUGGAGUUCUUCGGAACAAAGCUAGCGGCGGACGGGUGAGUAACACGUGGGCAACCUGCCUCAUAGAGGGGAAUAGCCUUCCGAAAGGGAGAUUAAUACCGCAUAAGAUUGUAGCUUCGCAUGAAGUAGCAAUUAAAGGAGCAAUCCGCUAUGAGAUGGGCCCGCGGCGCAUUAGCUAGUUGGUGAGGUAACGGCUCACCAAGGCGACGAUGCGUAGCCGACCUGAGAGGGUGAUCGGCCACAUUGGGACUGAGACACGGCCCAGACUCCUACGGGAGGCAGCAGUGGGGAAUAUUGCACAAUGGGGGAAACCCUGAUGCAGCAACGCCGCGUGAGUGAUGACGGCCUUCGGGUUGUAAAGCUCUGUCUUCAGGGACGAUAAUGACGGUACCUGAGGAGGAAGCCACGGCUAACUACGUGCCAGCAGCCGCGGUAAUACGUAGGUGGCGAGCGUUGUCCGGAUUUACUGGGCGUAAAGGGAGCGUAGGCGGACUUUUAAGUGAGAUGUGAAAUACUCGGGCUCAACUUGAGUGCUGCAUUUCAAACUGGAAGUCUAGAGUGCAGGAGAGGAGAAUGGAAUUCCUAGUGUAGCGGUGAAAUGCGUAGAGAUUAGGAAGAACACCAGUGGCGAAGGCGAUUCUCUGGACUGUAACUGACGCUGAGGCUCGAAAGCGUGGGGAG
rnacentral:rRNA from 1 species